rnacentral:rRNA from 1 species
AUUGAACGCUGGCGGCAUGCCUUACACAUGCAAGUCGAACGGCAGCACGGGGCAACCUGGUGGCGAGUGGCGAACGGGUGGGUAAUGCAUCGGAACGUGCCAUUGAGUGGGGGAUAACGUAGCGAAAGUUGCGCUAAUACCGCAUAUUCUGUGAGCAGGAAAGCAGGGGACCGCAAGGCCUUGCGCUCUUUGAGCGGCCGAUGUCAGAUUAGCUAGUUGGUGAGGUAACGGCUUACCAAGGCGACGAUCUGUAGCGGGUCUGAGAGGAUGAUCCGCCACACUGGAACUGAGACACGGUCCAGACUCCUACGGGAGGCAGCAGUGGGGAAUUUUGGACAAUGGGCGCAAGCCUGAUCCAGCCAUGCCGCGUGAGUGAAGAAGGCCUCGGGUUGU